UAUGAAUGAUGAUCGAUAUUCUUUGGUCCAUGUUUAUGAAGGGACUUAAGACCCCCGGUAUGACUGACAAAGGAAAAGAAGGCUAGACACCUUUGAUAUCUGACUUA
rnacentral:snoRNA from 1 species